rnacentral:rRNA from 1 species
AUUGAACGCUGGCGGCAUGCCUUACACAUGCAAGUCGAACGGUAACAGGUCUUCGGAUGCUGACGAGUGGCGAACGGGUGAGUAAUACAUCGGAACGUGCCUAGUAGUGGGGGAUAACUACGCGAAAGAGUGUCAAAUACCGCAUGAGAAUUACGGAUGAAAGCAGGGGAUCGCAAGACCUUGAGCUACUAGAGGCGCCGAUGGCAGAUUAGGUAGUUGGUGGGAUGAAAGGUUACCAAGCCGACGAGCUGUAGCUGGUCUUAGAGGACGAUCAGCCACACUGGGACUGAGACCCGGCCCAGACUCCUACGAGAGGCAGCAGUGGGGAAUUUUGGACAAUGGGCGCAAGCCUGAUCCAGCAAUGCCGCGUGCAGGAUGAAGGCCUUCGGGUUGUAAACUGCUUUUGUACGGAACGAAAAGCCCUGGAUUAAUACCCUGGGGUCAUGACGGUACCGUAAGAAUAAGCACCGGCUAACUACGUGCCAGCAGCCGCCGUAACAC